rnacentral:rRNA from 1 species
GAAGAAGUGAAUUAAGGGCAUUUGGUGGAUGCCUUGGCAUGCACAGGCGAAGAAGGACGUGAUACGCUGCGAAAAGCCGUGGGGAGCUGCGAAUAAGCUUUGAUCCAUGGAUCUCCGAAUGGGGCAACCCACCUUAAAUGCUUGGAAAAUCCAGUCUGUUUUAUGAACGGCCUGGGUUUCCAAGCAUUGUGAUAAGGUAUCUUACUUUCGAAUACAUAGGGGUAAGAAGCGAACGCAGGGAACUGAAACAUCUAAGUACCUGCAGGAAAGGACAUCAACCGAGACUCCGUAAGUAGUGGCGAGCGAACGCGGACCAGGCCAGUGGCAAUGAUGAAUAAAGCGGAACGAUUUGGAAAAGUCGGCCAUAGAG